GCGAGGGUACCCAAGUGGUCAAAGGGGCCAGGCUUAGGACCUGGUGGCUUAGUGCCUUCGCAGGUUCAAAUCCUGCCCCUCGCA
rnacentral:tRNA from 1 species